AACGAACGCUGGCGGCAGGCCUAACACAUGCAAGUCGAGCGCCCUUUCGGGGGAGCGGCGGACGGGUGAGUAACGCGUGGGAAUAUGCCCUUCUCUACGGAAUAGCCUCGGGAAACUGAGAGUAAUACCGUAUACGCCCUUUGGGGGAAAGAUUUAUCGGGGAAGGAUUAGCCCGCGUUGGAUUAGGUAGUUGGUGGGGUAAUGGCCUACCAAGCCGACGAUCCAUAGCUGGUUUGAGGGGAUGAUCAGCCACACUGGGACUGAGACACGGCCCAGACUCCUACGGGAGGCAGCAGUGGGGAAUCUUAGACAAUGGGGGCAACCCUGAUCUAGCCAUGCCGCGUGAGUGAUGAAGGCCUUAGGGUUGUAAAGCUCUUUCAGCUGGGAAGAUAAUGACGGUACCAGCAGAAGAAGCCCCGGCUAACUCCGUG
rnacentral:rRNA from 1 species